AUUGAACGCUGGCGGCAGGCCUAACACAUGCAAGUCGAACGAGUGGCGGACGGGUGAGUAAUGUCUGGGAAACUGCCAGAUGGAGGGGGAUAACUACUGGAAACGGUAGCUAAUACCGCAUACCAUCGGAUGUGCCCAGAUGGGAUUAGCUAGUAGGUGGGGUAACGGCCCACCGAGGCGACGAUCCCUAGCUGGGCUGAGAGGAUGACCAGCCAAACUGGAACUAGGACACGGCCCAGACUCCUCCGGGAGGGAGCAGUGGGGAAUAGUGCACAAGGGGCGCAAGCCUGAUGCAGCCAUGCCGCGUGUAUGAAGAAGGCCUUCGGGUUGUAAAGUACUUUCAGCGAGGAGGCGUUACUCGCAGAGGAAGCACCGGCUAACUCCGUGCCAGCCGCCGCGGUAAUAC
rnacentral:rRNA from 1 species